AACGAACGCUGGCGGCAGGCCUAACACAUGCAAGUCGAACGCUGUAGCAAUACAGAGUGGCAGACGGGUGAGUAACACGUGGGAAUCUUCCUAUCGGUACGGAAUAGCUCAGGGAACCUUGGGGUAAUACCGCAUACGCCCUUCGGGGGAAAGAUUUAUCGCCGAUAGAUGAGCCCGCGUCUGAUUAGCUAGUUGGUGAGGUAAUCGCUCACCAAGGCGACGAUCAGUAGCUGGUCUGAGAGGAUGACCAGCCACACUGGGACUGAGACACGGCCCAGACUCCUACGGGAGGCAGCAGUGGGGAAUAUUGGACAAUGGGCGCAAGCCUGAUCCAGCCAUGCCGCGUGAGUGACGAAGGUCUUCGGAUUGUAAAGCUCUUUUGGCGGGGACGAUAAUGACGGUACCCGCAGAAUAAGCCCCGGCUAACUUCGUGCCAGCCGCCGCCGUAA
rnacentral:rRNA from 1 species